AACGAACGCUGGCGGCAUGCCUAACACAUGCAAGUCGAACGAGACCUUCGGGUCUAGUGGCGCACGGGUGCGUAACGCGUGGGAACCUGCCCUUAGGUUCGGAAUAACUCCCCGAAAGGGGUGCUAAUACCGGAUAAUGUCUUCGGACCAAAGAUUUAUCGCCUUUGGAUGGGCCCGCGUUGGAUUAGCUAGUUGGUAGGGUAAAAGCCUACCAAGGCGACGAUCCAUAGCUGGUCUGAGAGGAUGAUCAGCCACACUGGGACUGAGACACGGCCCAGACUCCUACGGGAGGCAGCAGUGGGGAAUAGUGGAAAAUGGGCGAAAGCCUGAUCCAGCAAUGCCGCGUGAGUGAUGAAGGCCUUAGGGUUGUAAAGCUCUUUUACCCGGGAUGAUAAUGACAGUACCGGGAGAAUAAGCUCCGGCUAACUCCGUG
rnacentral:rRNA from 1 species